CAAUAGCGUAUAUUAAAGUUGUUGCGGUUAAAAAGCUCGUAGUUGGAUUUCUGCUGAGGACGAUCGGUCCGCCCUCUGGGUGAGUAUCUGGCUCGGCCUUGGCAUCUUCUUGGAGAACGUUACUGCACUUGACUGUGUGGUGCGGUAUCCAGGACUUUUACUUUGAGGAAAUUAGAGUGUUUCAAGCAGGCGCACGCCUUGAAUACAUUAGCAUGGAAUAAUAAGAUAGGACCUUGGUUCUAUUUUGUUGGUUUCUAGAGCUGAGGUAAUGAUUAAUAGGGAUAGUUGGGGGCAUUCGUAUUUAACUGUCAGAGGUGAAAUUCUUGGAUUUGUUAAAGACGAACUACUGCGAAAGCAUUUGCCAAGGAUGUUUUCAUUGA
rnacentral:rRNA from 1 species